rnacentral:rRNA from 1 species
GAUGAACGCUGGCGGCGUGCCUAAUACAUGCAAGUCGAGCGAACAGACGAGGAGCUUGCUCCUCUGACGUUAGCGGCGGACGGGUGAGUAACACGUGGAUAACCUACCUAUAAGACUGGGAUAACUUCGGGAAACCGGAGCUAAUACCGGAUAAUAUAUUGAACCGCAUGGUUCAAUAGUGAAAGACGGUUUUGCUGUCACUUAUAGAUGGAUCCGCGCCGCAUUAGCUAGUUGGUAAGGUAACGGCUUACCAAGGCAACGAUGCGUAGCCGACCUGAGAGGGGGAUCGGCCAAACUGGAACUGAGAAACGGUCCAGACUCCUAAGGGAGGCAGCAGUAGGGAAUCUUCCGCAAUGGGCGAAAGCCUGACGGAGCAACGCCGCGUGAGUGAUGAAGGUCUUCGGAUCGUAAAACUCUGUUAUUAGGGAAGAACAAAUGUGUAAGUAACUAUGCACGUCUUGACGGUACCUAAUCAGAAAGCCACGGCUAACUACGUG